UAUUGGUCAAUGGCCGGAAGGCUGAACCAGCCAUGCCGCGUGAAGGUCAGUGCCCUAUGGGCGUUAAACUUCUUUUGUGCGGGAGCAAUAAGGUCCCCGUGUGGGCCGACGAGAGUACCGUACGAAUAAGCAUCGGCUAACCCCGUGCAAGCCGCCGCGGUAAUACGGGGGAUGCAAGCGUUACCCGGAUUUAUUGGGUUUAAAGGGUGCGUAGGCUGUGAGGUAAGUCAGCGGUGAAAUGCCCCCGCUCAACGGGGUGAAGUGCCAUUGAUACUGCCUUGCUGGAAUGCGGAUGCCGUGGGAGGAAUGUGUGGUGUAGCGGUGAAAUGCAUAGAUAUCACACAGAACACCGAUUGCGAAGGCAUCUCACGAAUCCGCGAUUGACGCUGAUGCACGAAAGCGUGGGUAUCAAACAG
rnacentral:rRNA from 1 species